GAAGGUAUAGCUCAGUGGUGGAGCACAUGCUAAGCAUGCAUAAGGUUCUGGGUUCAAUCCCCAAUACUUCCA
rnacentral:tRNA from 1 species